rnacentral:rRNA from 1 species
GACGUAGGGCGCGAGCGUUGUCUGGAUUUAUUGGGCGUAAAGAGCUCGUAGGCGGCUUGUCGCGUCGACUGUGAAAACCCGAGGCUCAACUUCGGGCUUGCAGUCGAUACGGGCAGGCUAGAGUUCGGUAGGGGAGACUGGAAUUCCUGGUGUAGCGGUGAAAUGCGCAGAUAUCAGGAGGAACACCGAUGGCGAAGGCAGGUCUCUGGGCCGAUACUGACGCUGAGGAGCGAAAGCGUGGGGAGCGAACAGG